AUUGAACGCUGGCGGCAGGCCUAACACAUGCAAGUCGAGCGGAUGAAGGGAGCUUGCUCCUGGAUUCAGCGGCGGACGGGUGAGUAAUUCCUAGGAAUCUGCCUGGUAGUGGGGGAUAACGUCCGGAAACGGGCGCUAAUACCUCAUACGUCCUGAGGGAGAAAGUGGGGGAUCUUCGGACCUCACGCUAUCAGAUGAGCCUAGGUCGGAUUAGCUAGUUGGUGGGGUAAAGGCCUACCAAGGCGACGAUCCGUAACUGGUCUGAGAGGAUGAUCAGUCACACUGGAACUGAGACACGGUCCAGACUCCUACGGGAGGCAGCAGUGGGGAAUAUUGGACAAUGGGCGAAAGCCUGAUCCAGCCAUGCCGAGUGUGUGAAGAAGGUCUUCGGAUUGUAAAGCACUUCAAGUUGGGAGGAAGGGCAGUAAGUUAAUACCUAGCUGUUUUGACGUUACCAACAGAAUAAGCACCGGCUAACUUCGUG
rnacentral:rRNA from 1 species